rnacentral:rRNA from 1 species
AGAGUUUGAUCCUGGCUCAGAUUGAACGCUGGCGGCAUGCCUUACACAUGCAAGUCGAACGGCAGCGGACCUUCGGGUGCCGGCGAGUGGCGAACGGGUGAGUAAUGUAUCGGAACGUACCUUUCAGUGGGGGAUAACGUAGCGAAAGUUACGCUAAUACCGCAUAUUCUGUGAGCAGGAAAGCAGGGGAUCGCAAGACCUUGCGCUGAUUGAGCGGCCGAUAUCAGAUUAGCUAGUUGGUGAGGUAAAGGCUCACCAAGGCGACGAUCUGUAGCGGGUCUGAGAGGAUGAUCCGCCACACUGGAACUGAGACACGGUCCAGACUCCUACGGGAGGCAGCAGUGGGGAAUUUUGGACAAUGGGGGCAACCCUGAUCCAGCCAUGCCGCGUGAGUGAAGAAGGCCUUCGGGUUGUAAAGCUCUUUCGGCCGGGAAG